AGGGGCAUCGCCAAGCGGUAAGGCCACGGACUCUGACUCCGUUAUUCAUAGGUUCAAAUCCUAUUGCCCCUGCCA
rnacentral:tRNA from 1 species